GACGAACGCUGGCGGCGUGCUUAACACAUGCAAGUCGAACGGAAAGGCCCCUUUGGGGGUACUCGAGUGGCGAACGGGGGAGUAACACGGGAGUAACCUGCCCUUGACUUCGGGAUAACUUCAGGAAACUGGGGCAAAUACCGGAUAGGAAUCCUUGCUGCAUGGUGGGGGUUGGUAAGCUUCGGCGGUUUUGGAUGGAAUCACGGCUUAUCAGCUUGUUGGUGGGGUAGUGGCUUACCAAGGCUUUGACGGGUAGCCGGCCUGAGAGGGCGACCGGCCACAUUGGGACUGAGAUACGGCCCCGACUCCUACGGGAGGCAGCAGUGGGGAAUAUUGCACAAUGGGCGGAAGCCUGAUGCAGCAACGCCGCGUGCGGGAUGACGGCCUUCGGGUUGUAAACCGCUUUCAGCAGGGGCGAAGCUUGUGGUGACGGUACCUGCAGAAGAAGCACCGGCUAACUACGUG
rnacentral:rRNA from 1 species